GAUGAACGCUAGCGGCAGGCCUAAUACAUGCAAGUCGAACGGUGUAGGAAUACACAGUGGCGCACGGGUGCGUAACACGUAUGCAACCUACCUUACAUUGGGGGAUAGCCUUUCGAAAGGGAGAUUAAUACCGCAUAAGACAGUAACUAGGCAUCUAGUAGCUGUUAAAGAUUUAUCGAUGUAAGCUGGGCAUGCGUCCAAUUAGUUAGUUGGCGAGGUAAUGGCUCACCAAGACGAUGAUUGGUAGGGGAACUGAGAGGUCAAUCCCCCACACUGGCACUGAAGUACGGGCCAGAAUGCUACGGGAGGCAGCAGUAGGGAAUAUUGGGCAAUGGGCGCAAGCCUGACCCAGCCAUGCCGCGUGCAGGAAGAAGGCGUUAUGCGUUGUAAACUGCUUUUAUACAGGAAGAAACGACCCUUGCGAGGGGCAUUGACGGUACUGUAUGAAUAAGCACCGGCUAACUCCGUGCCAGCCGCCGCAGUAACAC
rnacentral:rRNA from 1 species